rnacentral:sRNA from 1 species
GCUUAUGGGAAAACUGGGAUCCGAGACGUCCACCUGGAACUGAAAAACCUGACCAUGUGUGGACGCAAAGGGAACCUGCACUUCAUCCGCUUUCCCAGCUGUGCUAUGCACAGGUUCAUUCAGAUGGGCAGCGAGAAGAACUUCUCUAGCCUUCACACCACCCUCUGUGCCACAGGAGGCGGGGCUUUCAAAUUCGAAGAGGACUUCAGAAUGAUUGCUGACCUGCAGCUGCAUAAACUGGAUGAACUGGACUGUCUGAUUCAGGGCCUGCUUUAUGUCGACUCUGUUGGCUUCAACGGCAAGCCAGAAUGUUACUAUUUUGAAAAUCCCACAAAUCCUGAAUUGUGUCAAAAAAAGCCGUACUGCCUUGAUAACCCAUACCCUAUGUUGCUGGUUAACAUGGGCUCAGGUGUCAGCAUUCUAGCUGUGUACUCCAAGGACAACUAUAAAAGAGUUACAGGGACCAGGUAAACAUGUUUCUGCUUGUGCUUGAACCCAGACCUCUUUCUUGAUGACCAGUUUAUAGUAAAAGGUUAUUUAUAUUGAAUACAUUUUUA